CGCCGCCUUGGAAGGGAAUUGACUGGUGGUACACGGAGCUGAGCGAUCCGGACCCCGCUCGGCGCGCAGUUUGGCCGAAUUUGCCAUUCUAAAGCAGAAUCGCAUUCGGCCGAAUCUGGCGAAGGUCGUGAGUUGAAUCCCAUUGCCCCUGACCUUAGAAUCCAAGGAUGGAAGUGAAGGAUCCGAGAGGUCAAACUACGAGCGCCUUAUAUUCAGUUCGUGUGGGACAACAGACUGCUUCGAAACCCCAAUUCGAGCUCAGCUCUAUCUUCUUCCUGCCCUUUCUGCCUGCUGACCUAAUCAACCUUUCCAGACAAUUCUAGAAAAUGGUCACUGGAAUGCUCAAGCCAAGAAUACAGUCUUCAAAUGAAAAGUUGAAGCAUGAAAGAUAAGAUUCAAAAAAGCAUUAUGGAAUCUUCAUGCUUGGUUGAGAAACCAAGAGGGUGCAACUUUAAAAGCGUGUGAUUGGCUAAAAUUGAGAAGUCUCAAUUUGUUGGCUUUGUCCUCAUAAAAAUUGACAAAAAUAAAGUUAUGAGAAAAAAUAAAAUAAAGUGAAAUAUACUUCUUGAGUA